rnacentral:lncRNA from 1 species
AUUUAAACCUUUAAUACCUUGAGUAUAGGUCUUAAGACACACAUAGAAUGACUUUAACUAUAAGACUUUGAGCCUAGUGUGUAUAACAAACACCUGAAAGGUGUAAUGGAGACUUUAGGAACAUGCUUCAGAGUGGCUGAAGAUCCUGAGAAGGACAAAACUCACACGAGAAAGGGAGCCACGAGAAAGGGACUACACAGAAGGUUUGUCCUGAGGACCUGGGUAUCGUGGUAUAUGCAUCAUUCACAUCAGCUCUACAGUUUGGAAAAACAAUCCGG